rnacentral:lncRNA from 1 species
ACAAAACAUACAUCACUAGGUCAAGCAACAACUAUUACAUCGCUUUAAUAUUACAUGUCCACUCUAAGCUAUUACAGAUCUCUUUACUUUUUCUGUACUCUGCUGGACUGUCCCUGUACACUGUACACUGAACCUGCAAAACUGGGGUUAAGGGAGUGGGAUGAGCUCUAUAGCCCAGUGAGUAGAACAGUAAAACAUCUCAGUAAAAUAUGAUCUCAUGGAAUGCACCAUAUCACAGACAAGCCACAUCAAGAGUAAACCUGUCACCACAUAGUCCCAGUAACUCUGUGCCAGGGCGUAGAAUCGAGCACCUGGUCUUCCUGUCAUAUAUAUAUAUGUGUAUAUAUCACCUGUGUACUUACCAUUGCCAGGGCGUAGUCAAAGGCUCCUGGACUUUGCUAUAUACCUGCCAGGGCGUAGUCAAAGGCUCCUGGACUUUACUAUACCUGCCAGGGCGUAGUCAAAGGCUCCUGGACUUCCUGUCUGAGAUUAUUGGAUCAUUCAGCAUUCACUCACAUCACCAAAUAACGAUGCAAUGCAACAUAUUCGUGAAUACUAAUGCAAUCAACCUAUGGCAUAAACAUGAUGCAUGAGAUAUGCUAAAAGCAGUUUAUGGGUCAAUUAAAAGUCAUAAGUUUAGUUCCACUCACCUCUGGCUAUCUGGACUGACUGACUCUGCAGGCUCUGAACCUCUGGAGCAGUACUCACUGCUGCUCUCUCUGGUUCCUCUGGUCUGUACCUAUACAGAUGGACUCAAAUGAGGGACCAAACUAACUUAUCAAUACCUCUAUUAAACUCCCCAAGAAUCCCCUGAAACUCACUUAACUAGCCAUGCAAAGCAUGCAAAAGAAAAGCUGGACAGAACACUUUCGGCGGCAGGUUCGGCGGCCGAAUGUCCUCUCCAGAGACGAAACUCAAGCACCUUCGGCGGCACCUUCGGCGGCCGAAUCCCCCAAACAGAGCCGAACAUGCAAAAACACUCGGGGGCAAGCUGUGGCAACGAAGCCACCAUGCAGGAGGUUCGGCGGCCGAAUGAACUUUCGGCUGCCGAACCUGAGUUCAUCCAGAACUCAGCUUCAACGGCAAACCAUCUCCUCCUUCCCUUCAACACUUUCUAACAUGCAUCCUUCACGUAUUCAACACACAUAUACUCAAGUAUAUGUUCACAGGGGUCCAAAACUAGCUAAUAACCCCAAACAACAAAACAAACAUAACACAUCCACAUGUAUACAUCCAUAAAUCAUCAAAAACUACCAUGAAUAACCUAAGCAUGCUUCUCCUUCCUUUCACUCUUCAGAAAACAUAUAAACAGGGUCUAAAACUGCCCUUACCUCUGGAAACAGGAAGAUACACACACUGAACAAAGGAAAAACAAAUCAACCUCUCUUCAAACGCUCAAAAUCUCAAAAACGUAACUUUUGUUUCUCUCAACUCUCAACACCUUUGCAAGCACCUCAAACUGCUGUAAGAACAACCAAAAACAUGUACAGAUGAGUCAUAAGAGACGUGGUCAUUCCAUGGCAAGAAUCUGAGGCCAACACUUGUCAAAAAACAUGACUCAGCUCACUAGCCAACUCAGCUUCGGCUGCCCAAUCGCAUGCGAAACCAUGCAACAUUCGGGGGCCGAACUUGAAUUUCAGAAGCCGAACAUUGGGCACUUUCGGCGGCCGAAC